rnacentral:rRNA from 1 species
AUUGAACGCUGGCGGCAUGCCUAACACAUGCAAGUCGAACGAGUGGCGGACGGGUGAGUAAUAUAUCGGAAUGUGCCCGAUAGCGGGGGAUAACUACUGGAAACGGUGGCUAAUACCGCAUACUAUCGGAGCAGCCCAGAGGGGAUUAGCUAGUGGGUGGGGUAAAGGCUCACCAAGGCAACGAUCGCUAGCUGGUCUGAGAGGACGACCAGCCACACUGGGACUGAGACACGGCCCAGACUCCUACGGGAGGCAGCAGUGGGGAAUUUUGGACAAUGGGGGAAACCCUGAUGCAGCCAUGCCGCGUGUAUGAAGAAGGCCUUCGGGUUGUAAAGUACUUUCGGCAGGGAGGCGGUACCUGCAGAAUAAGCACCGGCUAACUCCGUGCCAGCAGCCGCGGUAAUAC